CAACAGUCGUUAAAAUCGGACGAUAUUGACAUGUUCAAAGUUAAUUUUAUGGCCAUAUUUAAAGCGAUUGCUUUUAAGUCGUCAGGACAAAUGGUAAAAAUGUGGCCGGACAGUUCUGUUUUAAUAGUUAUGUACGCGUUCAUCUUUCUGGUACAUUCUUUGCCGUUAAAUAUUGAUUGGAAUACUUUACAUCAUAAUCCAGAUCCGAUUGUUCAAAACGAGAGGAUUUUGAACCUUUAUUUACAAUUAGCGACGCAUACGGCGAUUCGUUUAACGUAUUUGAGAAAGGAAAUCAAAAGAUAUGAUUGUAAUAAACACAAUGACAAUUCAUCAGUUUCAACAGAAAUCCCUGUAACGCAAUUGCCAUCUCAAGAGAAUCCAGAAUGGUUUGACGAAAGCCAAAAGGUCUUGAUUCAUUCGUCUUCCAAUGAUUCUGACGUAAAUGCGGAUCAAAAUCAAACGACUCUGCAAAUACAACAGUUGUCUGACUUAAAUAAUCUUCAAGAUAUCAAAAAUCAAAAUGUUACAUAUGAUCCAAUGAUGAGCGAUUUAAUUCCAAAAUCUAUACAAAAUGUCCAAGACACUUUGUCCGAUAUUGCCGGACACAAUCGCGAAGCGUUUAAUUCUGACAGUUUGCAAAAAUCAAUUCUCAAUUUAGAUGCAGCAAACAAGUCACAAAGCGCGGGUGAGAUUGAAUUAGAUUCUUCAAAAUCAGCGAGAAAUGAUGUCAAUAAAGAAUUAUUUAAUCAGAUCGAUCUCAUAAAGAACGUCACGAAUAAUACGUCGAUGAAUAAUUCAACUGUAAAUAAGUUACUUCCGAACUCGCAAGAUUUGCAGGAACCGACACUUGAAAUAAGUCCACGAUUAUUCGGCGCGGAUCUAGCACAAAUUGUUCCAAAAAUUAUUAACGACGCACAUGAAGAUGCAAAGCAGUAUCUCUCGCCGCAAAAUACACGCGAACUAUUGGAUAAGAUCGACGAUGUAGGUCAAAAGUUUUCCAAUACAAUUAAAACCCCCGGAAACGUUUUAAAUUCGCUCAUUGCAAAUAAUUUAUCCGCAGCGAAUCAGGUUUUAUCGAGUGCAAAAAAUGUGGAGUCGAUGAUUAAAGUUCUACCAGAGGCUGCGAAGGGCGCGGCUAACCUACUGAAUCAAAUUAUUCCGAAAUCUCGGGAGAUUAUUAACACGCCGUUAAAAGUCGCGGAGGAAGGUCAGCAAUUUUUCACGCGUCACGACUAUACUCAACAGGAGCAAAAUAAAAACCUUAAACAAACGGAAAAUCAAUCUGAUAAUCAGUUGCAUGAUCGACAAGAUUUAACAGGCGGAUCGGGGGAUAACAUUCGUGAGACAGAUGCAUCUGAAAGGGAUAAUCAAGAAAUAAAGAUUAGUAAUUUGACGGAUAACAAUAGGCAAGAUGUAUCCACAUCGUUAAGUGAUUCUUUUGUUCCAUUGGCUAGAUCUUUCCCGGAUUUUAAUGGAGAGAAGACUAAUGAAAAAAUUAAAACUGAUCUUUCCUCCGUUCAGACAAAUGAAAACUCUUAUAAUUUUACCGAAAAUCAAUCGUUGAAUCAUGAAACAGAUCAACUACUAGAUCAGAUUGAUGGAGAAAUACAAAUCGAAGAAUUUAAGAACAUAAACGGGACAGAAACGGAUUACGAUGAUGGGCAAUUAAAUCCAAUUUUGGAAGAUUUAUCUCAGAGAAGCACAGAAAGUGGAUCGACAAAUGUUGCGACAUCAACAUCUCCUAUUCUAUUAGAAUCUAGUACGUUGGUUUCAAUUACGGAACGUCAAGCUAACAAUUCGAGCGACGCACAAGAUUUUGAAAAUCCGGGUGACAUUACAAAAAUUAAUACGGAAGAAACGAGAAGACUUGUAAAUAUUCCAUCUAAUGACGAGAUAAAUCAGUCGACUGGAAGUAAGAUUACUCACGACGAUGAAAUAUUGAAAUUGAACGGUCGUUCUCUUAUAGACGAUUUGACAGGCAUAUCCAUAUAUUCGCAUGAGCAGCUAUCCGAAUCAAAAUUGCAGGAGAUCAGCGAUCGACUGAUCAAUGCGCUUCGACCUUACAUAGAAGAGAGAAUGGACAAUAAUUCGACUAAUGAAUAUAGUAAAGUAUAAGACAAAAACGGAAAGCCAUUGAAUAUAUUAUUUGAUUCUAUGAUGCAAGUCUAUAAGCAAAAUUCAAAUUACACAAAAAAUUACAAUUAAUUUGAAGAUGCAACUUUACACUUUCAAGAGGAUGAUAGACGAAGAAAAGAAGCUAUUAAUAAAAAAAAAAUAAUUAUUACAUAUUAUGCUUUUCUGUUAGAUAUGUAUUAAAAUUCUAUAAGUGUUAAAGAAUUUUUUAUUAAUCCUACAGAUUAAUAAAAAAAUAAGGAAGUUUUAUUAUACAUAAGAAAGAAAUAAACAAAAAUAAAGAUUAUAGACAGAGACCGAUAAACGUGAGAUAGACGUGUGUAAAAAGAGUAUAAAAAUAGAAAUUCUAUUCAU